UGGGGAAUAUUGCACAAUGGGCGCAAGCCUGAUGCAGCCAUGCCGCGUGUAUGAAGAAGGCCUUCGGGUUGUAAAGUACUUUCAGUCGGGAGGAAGGUGGUAAGGUUAAUAACCUUAUCAAUUGACGUUACCGACAGAAGAAGCACCGGCUAACUCCGUGCCAGCAGCCGCGGUAAUACGGAGGGUGCAAGCGUUAAUCGGAAUUACUGGGCGUAAAGCGCACGCAGGCGGUUGAUUGAGUCAGAUGUGAAAUCCCCGGGCUCAACCUGGGAACUGCAUCUGAUACUGGCAAGCUUGAGUCUCGUAGAGGGGGGUAGAAUUCCAGGUGUAGCGGUGAAAUGCGUAGAGAUCUGGAGGAAUACCGGUGGCGAAGGCGGCCCCCUGGACAAAGACUGACGCUCAGGUGCGAAAGCGUGGGGAGCAAACAGG
rnacentral:rRNA from 1 species